rnacentral:rRNA from 1 species
AGUACGGCGAGUGAGCGGCAAAAGCUCAAAUUUGAAAUCCUCAGGGAAUUGUAUUUUGAAGGUAGACAGAUAUUGAAGGAUUCUUCUUAAUCUCCUUGGAAAAUGACGCCAUAAAGGGUGAUAGCCCCGUGAAGAAACCAAAUCCAUCUAUUUCUCUGUUCUCCAAACAGUCUAGUUGUUUGGGAAUGCCGCUCUAAGUGGGUGGUAAAUUCCAUCUAAAGCUAAAUAUUGGAGAGAGACCGAUAGCGAA